GAUGAACGCUGGCGGCGUGCCUAAUACAUGCAAGUCGAGCGAACAGACGAGGAGCUUGCUCCUCUGACGUUAGCGGCGGACGGGUGAGUAACACGUGGAUAACCUACCUAUAAGACUGGGAUAACUUCGGGAAACCGGAGCUAAUACCGGAUAAUAUAUUGAACCGCAUGGUUCAAUAGUGAAAGACGGUUUUGCUGUCACUUAUAGAUGGAUCCGCGCCGCAUUAGCUAGUUGGUAAGGUAACGGCUUACCAAGGCAACGAUGCGUAGCCGACCUGAGAGGGUGAUCGGCCACACUGGAACUGAGACGCGGUCCAGACUCCUACGGGAGGCAGCAGUAGGGAAUCUUCCGCAAUGGGCGAACGCUUGACGGAGCAACGCCGCGUGAGUGAUGAAGGUCUUCGGAUCGUAAAACUCUGUUAUUAGGGAAGAACAAAUGUGUAAGUAACUAUGCACGUCUUGACGGUACCUAAUCAGAAAGCCACGGCUAACUACGUG
rnacentral:rRNA from 1 species